rnacentral:rRNA from 1 species
CAGUCGACGGUAACAGGUCUUCGGAUGCUGACGAGUGGCGAACGGGUGAGUAAUACAUCGGAACGUGCCCGAUCGUGGGGGAUAACGGAGCGAAAGCUUUGCUAAUACCGCAUACGAUCUACGGAUGAAAGCAGGGGACCGCAAGGCCUUGCGCGGACGGAGCGGCCGAUGGCAGAUUAGGUAGUUGGUGGGAUAAAAGCUUACCAAGCCGACGAUCUGUAGCUGGUCUGAGAGGACGACCAGCCACACUGGGACUGAGACACGGCCCAGACUCCUACGGGAGGCAGCAGUGGGGAAUUUUGGACAAUGGGCGAAAGCCUGAUCCAGCCAUGCCGCGUGCAGGAUGAAGGCCUUCGGGUUGUAAACUGCUUUUGUACGGAACGAAAAGACUCCUUCUAAUAAAGGGGGUCCAUGACGGUACCGUAAGAAUAAGCACCGGCUAACUACGUGCCAGCAGCCGCGGUAAUACGUAGGGUGCAAGCGUUAAUCGGAAUUACUGGGCGUAAAGCGUGCGCAGGCGGUUAUAUAAGACAGAUGUGAAAUCCCCGGGCUCAACCUGGGAACUGCAUUUGUGACUGUAUAGCUAGAGUACGGCAGAGGGGGAUGGAAUUCCGCGUGUAGCAGUGAAAUGCGUAGAUAUGCGGAGGAACACCGAUGGCGAAGGCAAUCCCCUGGGCCUGUACUGACGCUCAUGCACGAAAGCGUGGGGAGCAAACAGGAUUAGAUACCCUGUAGUC